rnacentral:rRNA from 1 species
UACAUGGGGUGCAAACGUUGCUCGGAAUCAUUGGGCGUAAAGCGCGCGUAGGCGGUUACACAAGUUGGAUGUGAAAGCCCUCGGCUUAACUGAGGAAGUGCAUCCAAAACUGUGCAGCUAGAGUACUAAAGAGGGUCGCGGAAUUCCCGGUGUAGAGGUGAAAUUCGUAGAUAUCGGGAGGAACACCGGUGGCGAAGGCGGCGACCUGGGUAGAUACUGACGCUGAGGAGCGAAAGCCAGGGGAGCAAACGGG